rnacentral:rRNA from 1 species
AUGGACAAUGUGUAUAAGCUUCAUGGCAUGCCAGAAUCAAUAGUUACUGGCCGUGAUCGUAUCUUCACUAGCCGUUUCUGGCGGGAAAUUGAUGCCUUGACAGUAGUUAAACUGCGCAUGAGUUCUUCUCAUCACCCUCAGACAGAUGGGCAGCCUGAAUGUGUGAAUCAAUGCCUGGAGGCGUUCCUCAGAUGCUUUACACAUGCUUUCCCUGCGAAGUGGGCACAGUGGCUUCUACUUGCUGAAUACUGGUACAACACAAGUAUGUAUUCCUCCUUGCAGGGCAAAUCCCCUUUUGAAACAUUCUACGGACAUUCGCUGCGGCAGUUUGGAAUUUCUGAUGCAGAUACUUGCUCGGUGCCGGAGCUAUCUACCUGGCUUCAGGACCGUGCGUUGAUGCUCAAGCUCUUGCAGCAACACUUGGAGCGCGUUCGCACUCGCAUGAAGCAUCAAGCAGAUAAGAAACGUUCAGACGGAGUGUUCCAGCCUGGUGAUUCAGUGUUCAUAAAGUUGCAGCCGUACAUUCAGUCUUCAGUUGCUCUGCGUGCACAUCAUAAGUUAUUGUUCAAGUUUUAUGGACCGUUUAGAGUACUGGAGCGAGUGGGUUCAUCGGCGUAUCGUCUCCAGCUACCUCCCAGCAGUAAGAUUCAUCCGGUGCUACAUGUCUCACAAUUGAAGAAGGCGUUGGGUCCUCAUUGUCAAGUGCAAUUUGAACUUCCUCCAGUGGAUUCACAUCUUGCUAUUCCAGUCUGCGUGUUGCAGCGACGCUUUCGUCAAGAUGGAGCACGUGCUAUUCCUCAAGGGCUAAUACAAUGGUCUGAUCAAGCCAAGCCCUUGGCGACCUGGGAAGAUCUGGAAGAAUUGAGGCAACGUUUUCCGCGAGUGCCAGCUUGGGGACAAGCUGGUUUCCAAGAAAGGGGGAAUGUUAAGGGCCCAGGACAUGCCAUAGGCCCAGGAGUAGCGACCCAGGAAGAAUGCCCGCCCGAGAAGAGACGAAGGCAACCAGCUAAGUGUUACGCGUCGAACGAGUGGGCUAGGUAG